UUGAGCCGAUGUAGCGCGGUGGUCCCACCUGACCCCAUGCCGAACUCAGAAGUGAAACGCCGUAGCGCCGAUGGUAGUGUGGGGUCUCCCCAUGCGAGAGUAGGGAACUGCCAGGC
rnacentral:rRNA from 1 species